AUCGCCGUUCCUCUCUACCCGUUUCCACUCGAUUCGAUCGACCUCGCUCCGUCGACACGCCGACUCCUCGACGCGGCCAAGCUUACGCGAUUCUCAUCAUAGAUAUGUAAUCGUAGAAAAACGAUACUCUUCUUUCUCUUUCGACCGUUCUUCUCCAGAGAUUCGUCUCGAAUCGAUAAUCGAAUCGGGCGUAUAUCGCAUGUAUCGAACCGUUACACGGGACAGAAUUAAAAACGGGAUGGAAAGUAGUAUAGGGAGGAGGGAGGAGAGAAGGUAUAUGUGCCGAACAAAGUUAGAGAUCCAGAGUUUCGAUGUACAGAGUUCCACUGCUUAUGAAAAUCCGUAAAAUCGUUAAGUGUGAAAAUAUAUUUCGUAUAUAACUUUUUACCGCACUGCGUGAUCUAUCGUGAUCUCGUACAACUAUAUCGUUUACUAGAGAAUAGAAAAAUCGAUUAGAUGGAGGAAUCGUCUCAAACUGUUCCCCAUAUGUCGAAAUAUGUAAAGAAAAAAGGAAGAAAAAUAUUAUUGGCCAAAAUCAAGUUAACUCUAGAAUACCGACGAUACCGUUCGUUCCAAUGCAGUUUGUAUCGAGAUUACUCUUUUUUCAUUUUUCCCACGAUUCAAAAUAUUUAAUGAAUUUUGAAAUUUUUGGAUAAAAAUAUAUAUUCAGUUACACAAAUUUAUAAAUAUUAAUUAUAAAUAUUAAUCUACAAAGAAUACGAAAUAUUAAAGACAUUUUAAUAUAUAAGCACAAAAUAAAUAAUAAAUUAUAUUUUAUAUGAAACCAUAAUGCGGUAUCUGUGCCACUAAGUAAUGUUACCAUACAUGCACACUCUUACAUAACGGAAGUCCUGUGGAUCGAUUGCACUCAAAAUGUCCAAUUUAGCAAUUUUUGGUUGCUAAAAAAAAAAAAAGAAAUCCGACGGUACACAUUCAUAUAAGUUAUAGCCACUUUUUUUUUGUCGAUAUUUUUGUAUUAUUCGAUAAUAAAUUAUUAAAUAAAUUUUAAAUAAAAAGAAAAAUUACUAAAUUACC